rnacentral:rRNA from 1 species
UACGGAGGGCGCGAGCGUUAAUCGGAAUUACUGGGCGUAAAGCGCGCGUAGGCUGUUGUGUAAGUUGGGGGUGAAAUCCCACGGCUCAACCGUGGAACAGCCCUUGAUACUGCGCGACUCGAAUCCGGGAGAGGGUGGCGGAAUUCCAGGUGUAGGAGUGAAAUCCGUAGAUAUCUGGAGGAACAUCAGUGGCGAAGGCGGCCACCUGGACCGGUAUUGACGCUGAGGCGCGAAAGCGUGGGGAGCAAGCAGG